GGCUUUCAUGGAGAGUCCUGUGGAGCAGGAUUUGGGUGGGUGAGGUGCUUACCCGGGACGCGGACAAAAACCCAGGCUUCAGACACGCAGGCUCAGCGACCAUGGCUCACGGGCCCAGCCGCUCCGCGGCAUGUGGGAUCUUCCCGGACCGGGGCAUGAACCCGUGUCCCCUGCAUCAGCAAGCAGACUCUCAACCACUGCGCCACCAGGGAAGCCCAACUGUGUCACUGACAGGGUCUUGGUGCUCCAGCCGGGUGUCAGGCCUGUGCCUGUGAGGUGGGAGAGCCAAGUUUUGGACAUUGGUCCACCAGAGACCUCCCGGUUCCACUUAAUAUCAAAUGGUGAAAGCUCUCCCAGAGAUCUCCAUCUCAACACUAAGACCCAGCUCCACUCAACGACCAGCAAGCUAAGUGCUGGAUACCCUAUGCCAAACAACUAGCAAGACAGGGACACAAUCCCACCCAUUAGCAGAGAGGCUGCCUAAAAUCAUAAUAAGGCCACAGACACCCCAAAACACAUCACCAGACGUGGACCUGCCCACCAGAAAGACAAGAUCCAGCCUCAUACACCAGAACACAGGCACCAGUACCCUCCACCAGGAAGCCAAACAACCCACUGAACCAACCUUAGUCACUGGGGACAGACACCAAAAACAAUGGGAACUACGAACCUGCAGCCUGCAAAAAGGAGACCCCAAACACAGUAAGAUAAGCAAAAUGAGAAGACAGAAAAACACACAGCAGAUGAAGGAGCAAGGUAAAAACCCACCAGACCUAACAAAUGAAGAGGAAAUAGGCAGUCUACCCGAAAAAGAAUUCCGAAUAAUGAUAGUAAAGAUGAUCCAAAAUCUUGGAAGUAGAAUGGAGAAAAUACAAGAAACGUUUAGCAAGAACCUAGAAGAACUAAAGAGCAAGCAAACAAUGAUGACCAACACAAUAAAUGAAAUUAAAAAUCCUCUAGAAGGGAUCAAUAGCAGAAUAACUGAGGCAGAAGAACGGAUAAGUGACCUGGAAAAUAAAAUAGUGGGAAUAACUACUGCAGAGCAG
rnacentral:lncRNA from 1 species